rnacentral:rRNA from 1 species
CCUACUUGGAUAACUCUGGCAAUUCUAGAGCUAAUACAUGCAAUAAAGCUCUGCCCUGCAAAGGAACGAGCGCAUUUAUUAGAAUAAAAACCAAUCGGGUUUCGGCCCGUAAUUUGGUGAAUCUGAAUAACUUUGCCAAUCGCACGGUCCUAGUACCGGCGAUAUAUCUUUCAAGUGUCUGCCUUAUCAACUUUCGUUGGUAGGUUAUACGCCUACCAAGGUAGUAACGGGUAACGGAGAAUAAGGGUUCGACUCCGGAGAGGGAGCCUGAGAAACGGCUACCACAUCCAAGGAAGGCAGCAGGCGCGCAAAUUACCCAAUUCCAGAACGGAGAGGUAGUGACGAAAAAUAACGAGACAGUCCUCUUCGAGGUCUGUCAUCGGAAUGGGCACAAUUUAAAUCCUUUAACGAGGAUCUAUUGGAGGGCAAGUCUGGUGCCAGCAGCCGCGGUAAUUCCAGCUCCAAUAGCGUAUAUUAAAGUUGUUGCGGUUAAAACGCUCGUAGUUGGAUCUGCGGCCUCGACGAACGGUCCCCCGAAAGGGUGGUCACUGUCUCGUCUAGCCUAAAUUCGAGUCGUCCCUAGGUGUUCUUAACCGAAUGCCUAGGGUGACCAGAACGUUUACUUUGAAAAAAUUAGAGUGCUUAAAGCAGGCGAAAUAGCCUGAAUAAAAUGCAUGGAAUAAUGGAAUAGGACCUCGGUUCUAUUUUGUUGGUUUUCGGAACCCGAGGUAAUGAUUAAGAGGAACAGACGGGGGCAUUCGUA